AUGAACGAGCAUGGCCUCCCUUACACUGCCAAGCAAUACUGCUGCGAUGUCUCCUCCUGCCGCGACAACGGCGGUCUCAUCAAGUUUGUCGAGAUAGAGUUCGAUGAGCCGGACCGCAGGCACAUUGGCAAUCAAGGCUGGAGAGCCAUCAUAUGGGAUAUGAUGAUAAAUACUUCAGAUGGUUGGAGCCAGCGCUUCAGAGUUGAUGUCGAUAACAUUUCGGUGGACCGAAGUUUUUCUGGUUUACUGCCUCAGCAGUGGAACGACGAGGCCGGAGAACUAGAACUGAAGAGACUGAUUUUGUGCACACAGAUUUUGUGUACUCCCACGCUGAGCAAGCAGGACGACGAUCUUCUUUACGUGAUGGCUAAGGUGAACAGUGAAGACGACAAGGCCUGGGUCAUCACCGUCAACAUGAAACGCGAGGCCGUGGAAGCAAUCGCCCCGUAUUCUACCAAAGGGCGCAAAUUCACUUCAUGGCAUAGUCCUUGCACCUUCCCAAAGUACCUCGACCCGACGACCCGUACAGGGGAUCACGUGGCCACACAUUCUACUAAGAGGAUUAGUGCGGCAGAUUGUGUACUGCAAGUGCUGCUGACUCAAGACUGGUUCAGAGAAAUUGGUAACUGA
rnacentral:rRNA from 1 species